AUCUAUUAAACAUCAAUUAAUUCAACAUAUUUGAUAUUCAGUAUUUGGGGCAAUAUUCGGACGGACAUUCCACCGUUCCGACACUCUCUCACACCAGCGCCAUGCUGGUAGUAGAGGGGACGAACCAAUCCAAACCCCCCAACAAAUCCAUCCCGCCAGCUCCGUGAUCAGUACAAUGCUGAUAUUAAUAUCAUCGCUAGCUAUCAUCGCUACAUAUCAUUGCUAGCUAUCAUCACUAUAUAUCAUUGCCAGCUAUCAUCGCUACAUAUCAUCGCUACAUAUCAUCGCUAUAUAUCAUCGCUAUUGCUACAUAUCAUUGCUAUACAUCAUCACUAUAUAUCAUCACUACAUAUCAUUGCUAGCUAUUAUCGCUAUAUAUCAUUGCCAGCUAUCAUCGCUAUCACUACAUAUCAUUGCUAUAUAUUAUCGCUAUAUAUCAUCGCUAGCUAUCAUUGCUAUAUAUCAUUGCUAGCUAUCAUCAAUAUAUACCAUUGAUAGAUAUCAUUCAUUCAAACAGAUGAGCAGGUAAAUAGACAGAUAGACAGUCAGAUAACCAUUUAAUAAAUUAGUAUUAUCAGAUCGAUAAAUAGCUAGAUGAUGAUGUUUAUUCUUAUAAACAUUGAUUGAAUAUUAAGCAGUUAUAUUGAUUGAAAGAUAGAGAGAUGAAUAGAUAGCUAGCUAUUCAGCUAGCACUCUCAAUUCUAUCAACAAUUGACUAAAUAUUAUAUAGAUCAAUAGAUAGAUAGCUAGCAUUCUCUUUCAUCAAUAAUUAAUUUAAUAUUAAAUAGAUAAAAAAUAAAAGCUAUC
rnacentral:sRNA from 1 species